GGGGCUGACUGGUUUCGACGUUCGGAUCCGGAAGCCGCGUGCGACCCGAGUUGCUCAGACUCGUUAAUCGGGGCACAAAAAAGAACCGCCAACAGCGAGUUCGCUCUCGCCGCCUGAUUUUUCAGACGGUAUGAGAGAAAUCGUGACCAGCAAUGGCGCACGGGGCCAGACCACUGCAGCCCGGCAACAGAAGCAGUGGUGGACGGCAGGGAGAGACCGCUGGCGGCGUGAAAGAACGCUGACUUCGAGGAAAGACUCGGCGGAGAACUUCGGUUCAAUCGACCCGGCGACGCGUUAACCGCAAGGCGCACUCUCGGGAAUGGUCGUAGCACGUCAGGUAACCGCCGAGCGGACGGGAGUUCGAUUCUCCCCAGCUCCACGG
rnacentral:tmRNA from 1 species